UGUUCAGACCAGGUUUCGAACCUGGGACCUUCCGCGUGUUAGGCGGAUGUGAUAACCACUACACCAUGAGAAC
rnacentral:tRNA from 13 species